rfam:Rhodnius prolixus Rhodnius_prolixus-3.0.3-192.16, whole genome shotgun sequence.
UCAACGGCCCUUCUCAGGGCCACCAAAUGAGUAAAUCACUUAUUA